rnacentral:misc_RNA from 1 species
GAUGAAGAACGUAGCGAAAUGCGAUAAGUAAUGUGAAUUGCAGAAUUCAGUGAAUCAUCGAAUCUUUGAACGCACAUUGCGCCCCCUGGUAUUCCGGGGGGCAUGCCUGUUCGAGCGUCAUUUCAACCCUCAAGCUCUGCUUGGUAUUGAGUCCAUGUCAGCAAUGGCAGGCUCCAAAAUCAGUGGCGGCGCCGCUGGGUCCUGAACGUAGUAAUAUCUCUCGUUACAGGUGCUCGGCGUGCUUCUGCCAAAACCCCAAUUUUUCUAUGGUUGACCUCGGAUCAGGUAGGAAUACCCGCUGAACUUAAGCAUAUCAAUAAGCGGAGGA